GGGAUUGUCUUAAUUGGGUGUUAAUGGGUCCCAGCUGGGAGAUAGGCUCAGCUGGGUGCCAAUUGCCCUAAUUGAUAAGAACCUCUGAUUGGGUCCUUGGAGGAAGCUGUUGUUCGUUGAACCUCCUAAAGGAAGGUUGGAAAGGCAAUAGUUGUUGCUUAAAAGGAGGAAAGGUUUAGUUAUUGGUAUUUGAGUUUUUAUGAUUUGGAAACUUGCUUCGAAUCAAGUGGAAGGAUUCAAAAACCAACCCAAGAGAGCUCUGUGGUGGGGAAUGAGACUGCAGUGGAGCAAGCAAAACUGCUUUGAAGAAAGUUCCCAAGACAGGUGGCGUGUUUCUCCAUUUGGAUUUCAGGAGGCAUAAACAACAGCAGCUGCGGAGAUGACCCUUCUCUGAUGGGAAAAUUCACUUCUGAAAACUCACUGUGAAAUUCACUUCUGUUCAGACUAUGACGCCAUGACAAGCUUCCAGCGUGGAGAUUUAAGAUGAUGGAAAAUAGAGCCACACAGUUCAGAGGUGCCAACAGCUCCUUGCUUUGGGUGUUAGUGGUACAGCAGAGUGCAGCCUGGAUUGCCUUGCACUCAUCCAGAUUCACCCCUUAGGAUGCUCACAUGUACUGGACUUCAGUGGAGAGUUUGGACAGGCAGCAAAACCUCCCAUCCUUGGGAACAUUCCUUAUUUUGGUGCUGGGAAAAUACUCUUAAAUGUUCCUCCAGUAUAAAAUUGGGAUUUUUCAGAUGAUGGGCUGAAGCAUUCCUGCAGUUUUGGAGAGUGCCCUAGGUUCCUUUCUAGCACAGGAAAACUUCCUUUGCCCUCACUGGGGGUGUGAGGGAAGGAAAAGAUGGAAUGGAAAGCAUUUGCCAUUUCCUCCAAGCAUGGUGGAGAGGUUUUAGGAUUGCACAGGACUCUGAUACCUGCUAUGCCAUGGUGCUGGACUUGCUGAGGGUGUGACAAAUGCAGAAAAUACAUAUUACAUGCAAGUCCCUUUAAAACAGGGUUCAUGUUUUAACCUCCAAAGAUGAAGAAAGGUUGGUAAAGAUUUUCUUGUUGCCAGUGACAGAAAUUUUUGUAGAUGUUUUUCUCACUUUAAAUAAACCACCAAAGCACUCCAAAAUAAAUGAUCAAGUUCUCUCCAUGCCUUCUGAUGGGCACUAUGAAUAUUCAGUUAAAUCUGCUUGUGGAUGCCUGUGACUGGCAAAAGAGUGAAAAUGAAGAUUGUGGAGGUUGGAAGCCUGGAGAGUGCUGGUUAAAGCCAUGAGGAUGUGUUGGUAGGAGGGAGGUGCAGGCUGUGAUUCCUCAUUGUGAUAAGUGAUGCAUACAUGUUACUGGGAAACACCUGUGGCUUUGUUUCUUCACUCUUAAUUCUGUCCUAGUGCAAACUGGCCUAUUAACCGGUAGCUCACUGGUUUGUGUGUAUGUGUAUCGUGAGGAGCAGAGGCACAAAGGAGGUAAUGUUGAGUCAGGAGCAGUCAGGAAGGAUCAAAGAUUGGCAAUUUCUGACACACAAAAGCAUAAGUGAUGCUGAACUCUCUCUAGGCUGAUUCCAGCUGAACACAAAGCAUUUUAACCUCGUAAUCCUUGCUUCUGAGUUAUUGCUCACACAUUCAGGGCUUUGUGGCUUUUUGGAGCCUCUCUCCUGUGCAUGACCCUGGUCCUAAGCAAAUAGCAAGGCACUACUGACUUGUACAGCACGUGUUGAAUGUUGAGCGUGGUGUUAACCUUGCAAGCUUUCUGGGUUUCU